GGAUGCGAUCAUACCAGCACUAAAGCACCGGAUCCCAUCAGAACUCCGAAGUUAAGCGUGCUUGGGCGAGAGUAGUACUAGGAUGGGUGACCUCCUGGGAAGUCCUCGUGUUGCANNNN
rnacentral:rRNA from 1 species